rnacentral:rRNA from 1 species
CAGUAGCCACGGGAACACGGAGGGUGCAAGCGUUAAUCGGAAUUACUGGGCGUAAAGCGCACGCUGGCGGUCUGACAAGUCAGAUGUGAAAUCCCCGGGCUUAACCUGGGAACUGCAUUUGAAACUGUCAGGCUGGAGUCUUGUAGAGGGGGGUAGAAUUCCAGGUGUAGCGGUGAAAUGCGUAGAGAUCUGGAGGAAUACCGGUGGCGAAGGCGGCCCCCUGGACAAAGACUGACGCUCAGGUGCGAAAGCGUGGGGAGCAAACAGGAUUAGAUACCCCAGUAGUCCCUGUCUCUUAUAC